AGUGAACGCUGGCGGUAGGCCUAACACAUCCAAGUCGAACGGCAGCACAGUAAGAGCUUGCCCUUACGGGUGGCGAGUGGCGGACGGGUGAGGAAUACAUCGGAAUCUACUUUUUCGUGGGGGAUAACGUAGGGAAACUUACGCUAAUACCGCAUACGACCUACGGGUGAAAGCAGGGGAUCUUCGGACCUUGCGCGAUUGAAUGAGCCGAUGUCGGAUUAGCUAGUUGGCGGGGUAAAGGCCCACCAAGGCGACGAUCCGUAGCUGGUCUGAGAGGAUGAUCAGCCACACUGGAACUGAGACACGGUCCAGACUCCUACGGGAGGCAGCAGUGGGGAAUAUUGGACAAAGGGCGCAAGCCUGAUCCAGCCAUACCGCGUGGGUGAAGAAGGCCUUCGGGUUGUAAAGCCCUUUUGUUGGGAAAGAAAAGCAGCAGGUUAAUACCCCGCUGUUCUGACGGUACCCAAAGAAUAAGCACCGGCUAACUUCGUG
rnacentral:rRNA from 1 species